rnacentral:rRNA from 1 species
AGUGAACGCUGGCGGUAGGCCUAACACAUGCAAGUCGAACGGCAGCACAGUAAGAGCCUGCUCUUACGGGUGGCGAGUGGCGGACGGGUGAGGAAUACAUCGGAAUCUACUUUUUCGUGGGGGAUAACGUAGGGAAACUUACGCUAAUACCGCAUACGACCUACGGGUGAAAGCAGGGGAUCUUCGGACCUUGCGCGAUUGAAUGAGCCGAUGUCGGAUUAGCUAGUUGGCGGGGUAAAGGCCCACCAAGGCGACGAACCGUAGCUGGUCUGAGAGGAUGAUCAGCCACACUGGAACUGAGACACGGUCCAGACUCCUACGGGAGGCAGCAGUGGGGAAUAUUGGACAAUGGGCGCAAGCCUGAUCCAGCCAUACCGCGUGGGUGAAGAAGGCCUUCGGGUUGUAAAGCCCUUUUGUUGGGAAAGAAAAGCAGCAGGUUAAUACCCCGCUGUUCUGACGGUACCCAAAGAAUAAGCACCGGCUAACUUCGUG